GACGAACGCUGGCGGCGUGCUUAACACAUGCAAGUCGAACGGUAAGGCCCUUCGGGGUACACGAGUGGCGAACAGGUGAGUAACACGUGGGUGAUCUGCCCUGCACUUCGGGAUAAGCCUGGGAAACUGGGUCUAAUACCGGAUAGGACCACUGCCUGCAUGGGUGGUGGUGGAAAGCUUUUGCGGUGUGGGAUGGGCCCGCGGCCUAUCAGCUUGUUGGUGGGGUGAUGGCCUACCAAGGCGACGACGGGUAGCCGGCCUGAGAGGGUGACCGGCCACACUGGGACUGAGAUACGGCCCAGACUCCUACGGGAGGCAGCAGUGGGGAAUAUUGCACAAUGGGCGCAAGCCCGAUGCAGCGACGCCGCGUGAGGGAUGACGGCCUUCGGGUUGUAAACCUCUCUCAGCACCGACGAAGCGCAAGUGACGGUAGGUGCAGAAGAAGGACCGGCCAACUACGUGCCAGCCGCCGCCGUAA
rnacentral:rRNA from 1 species